GCCNNUAUGCAGUCGAGCGGUAACAGAGAGUAGCUUGCUACUUUGCUGACGAGCGGCGGACGGGUGAGUAAUGCUUGGGAACAUGCCUUGAGGUGGGGGACAACAGUUGGAAACGACUGCUAAUACCGCAUAAUGUCUACGGACCAAAGGGGGCUUCGGCUCUCGCCUUUAGAUUGGCCCAAGUGGGAUUAGCUAGUUGGUGAGGUAAUGGCUCACCAAGGCGACGAUCCCUAGCUGGUUUGAGAGGAUGAUCAGCCACACUGGGACUGAGACACGGCCCAGACUCCUACGGGAGGCAGCANUGGGGAAUAUUGCACAAUGGGCGCAAGCCUGAUGCAGCCAUGCCGCGUGUGUGAAGAAGGCCUUCNGGUUGUAAAGCACUUUCAGUCNCGAGGAAAGGUUAANGGUUAAUACCCGUUAGCUGUGACGUUACNGANACAANAAGCACCGGCUAACUCCNUGCCAGC
rnacentral:rRNA from 1 species